GGUUUUAUAGUGUAAUUGGUUAGCACCCAGGACUUUGAAUCCUGUAAUCUGAGUUCGAGUCUCAGUAGAACCA
rfam:Dictyostelium discoideum AX4 chromosome 6, whole genome shotgun sequence.